rnacentral:lncRNA from 1 species
AGGCCACUUGUACCCAACUCCCAGCGAGUCGAGCUCGGUCCUGACGAGUUCACUCGUCCUGUGCUCCUGGAAUCCCAGCUCCGGGUACUGGUGGAUCCUCCUCCUCAACCCUCUCAUCCAUUCGAAAAACUCGGGCUCCCUCGCCGACGCCAGCAGCUCUUGAGUCAGCGACUCGAGCUCCAGUCCAUCUCCGGCAGCACAAGAAUGCUGAUCAAACAGUGCGGCAGCUGAUGACAGUAACAAGAAGGAGGUGAAGAAAGUGAAAAACCCCAUUGGAAAAUUAUCUUGAAAGAUUCCAAGAGCAAGAACGUUAUGUAUUAACUUCAAAUUAUUACAAAAGACAAACAGCUUAGCAUUUCAAAUUUCUCAUAAGUUCAAACCGGUAGCUCUCACAUUGAUUGACACGUGAUUGAGGAAGUAGUUGGUCGCUGGAUUUAGCCAAUAAUGGAUAAGCAUCUUGUUUUGUGGUGAUUGGUGUGUCAAUUUAAAAGUUAUGGUUUAGAGCGAGUGAUCGAAUGUGAUUGUGUUUUAGCUUUAAAAAGGCAAGGAAUAUUUAAGUUUGGGUGAGGGUUAAAUAAUGGAGCAAAAGGACGUGUAAUUUUUUAUUCAUAUGAAGUUGUGUUAUUGACGGAAUGUCGUAAUAGUAUAGUACUUGGCGUGUAAGUUUCUCAUAUAGUAUUUUUAUUUCUUUUUUAUUAAUUUAAAAAAUAGUAAUUUUCUAUUAUUAAUUGCCCAAACAAUUCAUUUUACGAACUGCAGAUACUACUAGAUAAUUACUAUUUACUAAGAUAAUAAUUGCCUUUGCCCAGGCCCAGUUGACGGGGCAAUUAUUGCCUUAGUGGGGUUGGCUUUUGCUCUUAUUGUGUCUCUUUAUAUAAUAGAUAGGAGUUUUAGGGUACUAAUGUGUCAUAUCCUAACUUACCAACUAUACUUAUUUUCUGGAGUGUAUUAGUGGCUAGGAUCUAUCUACAGUACAUGCGUGCAAAUCUUAGCAUUUAUGUAGAUAGGAAUAAUAGCACACGCCUACAAGAGUUAGAUCUUUGCAACUCCUGCUUUGGAGUCAUACAAGUAUGAAUGACCCAAAUUAACUUACACAUAGGGCCGCCCCUAAGGGUAGUCCUUGUAGGCGCCCGCCUAGGACCCUCACUUCGGAGUGGCCCUAAAAUUUUUAUAUAUCCUGUAAAUAACAUAUGAAUAUAGAAAAAGUAAGAAAUUUCAUAAUUCUAUUUGUUGGUGCAAUGGAAAUGUUCAGCUUCCUUUCUCUUUGGGGUGUUAAGUUCGAAACAUGGGGUUGCCUUUUUAGUCACUAGUUUUUUCUUGUUUUUCAAAUUUACUCCCUAUCCAUAUGUCCAAAUCCAUAUAAAGUUAGAAAACUCAAGUCUAUUUGCAAUCGUUUUUUCCUUCAACUUUUGAAUCUCUCAAUUUCUAUCGAAUGUUUCAAUCAACGAUUACAUGGUCUUGAAGAUUGUAUUUUAAGGUAAUCAAAACUUUGAACUUAUAUUUUUCUUUUCAAUAAUUUAUUAUUCAAUGGAUUAUUUUAAUAUUCAAUUCGUUGGUAUGAUGUUGAUUUUAGGAAAAAAAAACACAAGAAAAACAAUUGGCGUUGUUGAAUUUACUGGACUCAUCAAUCAAAUUUUAUUGUUUUUUACUCUCUUGAUCAAGUUUUAUUGUUCAACACUCUCAAUCUUAGACUCUUUGAUUGUAGUCAUUUAGUACAUUUGCGUUAAAAAAUGUGAGACGUGUAUAAUGUUUGUAAAUCUAUCUUCUUUUGAUAUUAAUUUUUAAUGAUAUUUGAUGUAGAAAUAUAAUUUUUAAUGUAGUUAACGAAUUUAUUUUUAUACAUAUUAAUGUACAAAAAUUCGGAGAUUAGACAACUUUAAGGCUCCACUUUGAAGGCUCGCCUAGAGUCCCCAAAUUCUCAUGCCGGCCCUGCCCACACACGCAAACUUAUGUGAGUAGAAGCUGAAAUCCUCUGCUCCAUGAUCACCGGUUGAAGCUCCACAUUAGGUUCCCGGAGUAGGGCCUCGCCAACCUUCUUCGCGUGCUCGUACAAUGCUUCGUUCUUAAUCAUCACUGGAUAAUGCAGCGGUGUUUCCUCCAUGAAGUCCACCGUACCCUCAAAUCGAUUCACGGCUGCUUGCAGUUCUAUGAUCUGCAAGUGGAACCUAACUGUAAGAGAGGCUAUACUCGCAAUGCACUCACCUUGGUAAAAUGACCUAGUAAUUUACCGAGUCCUUCUACAGUAUGUGAUGCACCAAUUUAUGAACGGCUAGAUUGGAAUGCUUUCUAGGGUAAAAGCUGCAUAUUUUUAGAAGUGAAGAUAGUACAAAGUUUCUACUCGGACUUUAGCGCCAUGGCUUUCCAAGUAUGCUCUCCUUUGUUAAAUAUUUUUAUCUUCUGUGUUCCUUAUUUCUAGAAUUGAAGUGUGGACCAUGUUCCUACUCAGUGCAGACAUCAUGGCCGUCGAAGCAUGAAGUGCUGCUCCUACUGGAAGAGAGUCCUCGUUGAUAAAAAAGUAGGGUGAGUGCAAGUUUUGGUCAGCCUUUAGAGUCUCAUUCUUUAUCCCAAGAACAAAAAUUGCAGCAGCAGUCUUCUCCGCGAAGUAGGUGAAAUCAUCCGAACCCAUAGUCAGUGGCAGAACAUGAACAUUAGAUUUCCCAAGGAGGACGUCACCGACAUUCUUCACAUGUUCAUACAGUGCAUCGUCAUUCUUCAUCGCGGGAUGAGGCAGUUGUCUGCCUCCAUGUAGUCCACCACAGCAGUACAUCGAUACACAGCUGCUUGCUGCUCUAUGAUCUGUAAGUGGAACAUAUUUUGUCGAGUGUAAUUAAAUUGAAUAGACUUUUACAAUAUAUGAAGAUUUAAGGACUCGUAAACCUCUUUUAUCCUUUCUUGGAGAUAGGAGAGACCCUCAGAAGUCAAGCUGCGAUAAGUUCCCCCGACUUUCACACUGUCGGGAAUCACAUUUCCUGCCUGACCUCCUUGUAUGUAGCCAACUGUUACAACCUACGUGAUACGAAGAUGAAUGGAUCAGAAUUGUUGGUUCUAAAUUGCUGGUAUAAUACUCAAAUGUACAACUUCAUUUACGAAGCUUUUAAUUGAUUUUCACCGAAGAAAAAGGAAGGGAUUAAGAUUACUCUGGAAUCAAACGGAUCCGUCUCUCGAGACACAAUCUGUUGGAGUGCAAGGUUUAUAGAGGCUGCUGCAGGAAUUGGGUCCCUAGUCUCAUGAGGGGAUGACCCGUGCCCUCCUUUUCCUUGUAUAGUAGCCUCAAAGAGCCCUACGCCGGCAAGUAUUGCCCCGGGCCUCGAAGCUAUGGCACCAGUUGGUAACGAUGGUGAAACAUGUAUGCUCAAGAUGGCAUCAAUAUCAUUCAAAACACCGUCUUUUAGCAUAUGGUAAGCACCGGCAUAACCCUCCUCUCCCGGCUGGAAAACUAGUUUCGCGGUUCCCUUUGAUAACAUGUCGAAGUAUUAGGACUUGCAAAGUAGUAGAUCGGAAGUUUUUAAAACAAAAUAUGUAGCUUUUCGUCCACCUUCAACAAAUCUUUUUUGUUUUGAAGCAACUUGGCUGCUCCGAGUAGCAUUGCGACAUGAGAAUCAUGACCACAAGCAUGCAUCUUUCCAUUAACUUUGCUCUUGUAAUCCCACUCUACCAAUUCCUUCAAAACAAUAAAAUUGGUUUCAAGGAAUCAGAUUUCAAUUAUAAAUUUAUAAUACCUAGUCAAAAGCACUUCGGACUACUUUUGGUGGAAAAAAAAAAUAAAGUGAUUUUGGAUCAAGCGUGUUUUAGAUAAAGACUUGGAAGUGACUUGGAAGUGAUCUUUAGGCAUCUCUUGAAUUUUUAAUAAAAUUUCAAUAUGUUUAAUAUAAUUAAGACACUUCUAGCAGAAACAGUUAUGAACAGUCCGCAAAUGACACGUAAUGUGGAACUUGAAAAUACACUAAUUGUAAAUACAUGGGCCAAAUUCAAUGAAAUUGAUAAUACAGGCACAGGAGUGGAACUUUGAGCAAACUACAUAGGUUAAAACAAAGUGUUUUAACCGGUGCGUCUCGGGUUCAAGUCUUCUUUUCCCUUGAUGUACAAUUAGUAUACACUAUCGCUAUAAAAAGGUCGUACCCAAUGCACAAGGCUCCCGCUUUACGCAGGGUCUGGAAGAGGUGAAUGUAUACACUAUCGCUAUAAUAAAAAUAAAAAGUGUUUAAGCCCAAUUUCUAGAGAGAGAGAGAGAGAACCUGGAGAGGGAGGGCAUCCAUGUCAGCUCUAAGAGCAAAGACUGGUUUAGAGCCAGAGCCAAUAGAAGCCAUCACCCCAGUCUUGGCAACAGGCCACUUGUACCCCAACUCCCAGCGAGUCGAGCUCGGUCCUGACGAGUUCACUCGUCCUGUGCUCCUGGAAUCCCAGCUCCGGGUACUGGUGGAUCCUCCUCUUCAACCCUCUCAUCCAUUCGAAAAACUCGGGCUCCAUCGCCGAAGCCAGCAGCUCUCGAGUCAGCGACUCUAGCUCUGGUCCAUCUCCGGUAGCACAAGAAUGCUGAUCAAACAGUGUAGCAGCAGCAGCUGAUGACAGUAACAAGGAGGUGAAGAAAGUGAAAAUUUCCAUUGGAAAAAUUUUCUUGUAAAAAAGUUAUUGAAUGCGCUUUUACGAUUCAGAAUUGUUUUUAAGGCUUAAAUUAAACAACUGGUAGCUCACAUUUGUUAAUGUUUUUAUUUAAAUGCGA